UAGGGAAUCUUCCGCAAUGGGCGAAAGCCUGACGGAGCAACGCCGCGUGAGUGAAGAAGGUCUUCGGAUCGUAAAAUUCUGUUAUUAGGGAAGAACAAAUGUGUAAGUAACUAUGCACGUCUUGACGGUACCUAAUCAGAAAGCCACGGCUAACUACGUGCCAGCAGCCGCGGUAAUACGUAGGUGGCAAGCGUUAUCCGGAAUUAUUGGGCGUAAAGCGCGCGUAGGCGGUUUUUUAAGUCUGAUGUGAAAGCCCACGGCUCAACCGUGGAGGGUCAUUGGAAACUGGAAAACUUGAGUGCAGAAGAGGAAAGUGGAAUUCCAUGUGUAGCGGCGAAAUGCGCAGAGAUAUGGAGGAACACCAGUGGCGAAGGCGACUUUCUGGUCUGUAACUGACGCUGAUGUGCGAAAGCGUGGGGAUCAAACAGGAUUAGAUACCCUGGUAGUCCACGCCGUAAACGAUGAGUGCUAAGUGUUAGGGGGUUUCCGCCCCUUAGUGCUGCAGCUAACGCAUUAAGCACUCCGCCUGGGGAGUACGACCGCAAGGUUG
rnacentral:rRNA from 1 species